rnacentral:rRNA from 1 species
GAUGAACGCUAGCGGCAGGCUUAACACAUGCAAGUCGAGGGGUAUAGUAGCAAUACUAGAGACCGGCGCACGGGUGCGUAACGCGUAUGCAAUCUACCUUUUACAGAGGGAUAGCCCAGAGAAAUUUGGAUUAAUACCUCAUAAUAUAUUUGAGUGGCAUCACUUGAUUAUUAAAGUUCCAAUGGUAAAAGAUGAGCAUGCGUCCUAUUAGCUAGAUGGUAAGGUAACGGCUUACCAUGGCUACGAUAGGUAGGGGUCCUGAGAGGGAGA